rnacentral:rRNA from 1 species
GACGAACGCUGGCGGCGUGCUUAACACAUGCAAGUCGAACGGAAAGGCCCUGCUUUUGUGGGGUGCUCGAGUGGCGAACGGGUGAGUAACACGUGAGUAACCUGCCCUUGACUUUGGGAUAACUUCAGGAAACUGGGGCUAAUACCCGAUAGCAGCUCCUGCUGCAUGGUGGGGGUUGGAAAGUUUCGGCGGUUGGGGAUGGACUCGCGGCUUAUCUGCUUGUUGGUGGGGUAGUGGCUUACCAAGGCGUUGACGGGUAGCCGGCCUGAGAGGGUGACCGGCGACAUUGGGACUGAGAUACCGCCCAGACGCCUACGGGAGGAAGCAGUGGGGAAUAUUGCACAAUGGGCGGAAGCCUGAUGCAGCAACGCCGCGUGCGGGAUGACGGCCUUCGGGUUGUAAACCGCUUUCGCCUGUGACGAAGCGUGAGUGACGGUAAUGGGUAAAGAAGCACCGGCUAACUACGUG